UCUCGAGAAGCACUAGCGGCCUGAGUGCGAGCAACUCUCUUACGCGGCGGCAUCUGAAAGAAAUAACAACUCAAUUAACUUCAGUCGAAACUGAACACUAACGAUUCAAGACAUAAUGCCAAGCAAAAAGGUGCUAUUUACUUUUAUUUUUAAAAUCCCCAUAUUCCUAUAAAUAUUUUAAAAAUCGUCUAAAACCGAUUAAAAACCGAGUCCCCACAAAUCGCCAUCCCGGGUCAGAGCCGGGACGGAAC
rnacentral:lncRNA from 1 species